rnacentral:tmRNA from 1 species
GGGGGUGAACGGUUUCGACUCUGGACGUUGAUUCAAGGGAAGCGUGCCGGUGCAGGCGAGAGACCACCGUUAAGCGUCGCCGUAACCAAAUAAGCGCCAAGACUAAUAGUCAGCGCGACUACGCCCUCGCCGCCUGAGCGAGUGCGUGUCUGUCGGCCCGGGAGUGCCUCCGUCCCGGUUCGCCGGCAUCAGCUAGGAGGCUCACCUUCCGGAUCCGGCCGCGGGAUCCGGAAGGGAAGCAAACAGCGGCUGGGCCCGUCACAUCGGCUUGUUCGCGUGACCGAUGGGGCCGAGUAGAGGCAUAGCGGACUGCGCACGGAGAAGCCUUGGUGAGGCGCCAGAGGACCCGGGUUCAAUUCCCGGCACCUCCAC